AUCUUUCUCCUUUGCCUCUAUCGGGGCUCCAACAUAACUAAGGCUUUCCAGUAAUAAGGGAGAAUAGCAGAGUUAAAAGCUUAACUUUCACAUUCAUAUCAAGAAAGGAGCAGUGCCUACUGCCUGUGGCAUUUGUCCCAUGAUGCUGCUGUAAAUGCUAUUUCAAGAAAGAAUGUGGUUGUCCACUGUCUGUCCAUAACUUUGAUGGGUCUAGGGUUCUAGACUGACCUAUAUCCUGUUUUGGCCAAAGAGGGACCCCAGUAUACUCAGUACUCAGCUUGUCCUGCCCUCUCCACCUCUCAGCACCUUUACCGCAGUAUUGCUGUGGAUGUCCCAGCUCAGCCUGUCACUUACAGACUCAGGGCAGUCUUGCUCUUUCCUUUGGGAACCACCCAGUUUAGUGUCCCUCAAACUUCAAGUUCCGCCAUAUUUAUUUCAAAGGUGACCACCUACAGUUAGCUCCAAUGUGGUUUAUCUACUCAAAUGGUUUCAGAGUGACCCCAAGGACACCAGCGAUAGUCAUACCAGGACCAGACUCAUAGAUGAAAUGAAGUGUCAUCAUCCAUCACUAUGAACUUCCUUCAUGAGAGAGAAAAGGGGAAAAAGUGAUCUGUGUAAAUAUUAGCUAAGCAUCAACUACACUCCUGAGGAUAACAAGCCAACCAAAUGUACGAGUGAAUAAGCACAGUUCCACUCUGUUGCUCUGAACAUGAUGCCAUUCCAGCUUCUGUGUUCGUGUUUUUGUUUGUUUUUUUUGUUUUUGUGUUUUGUUUCCUAUGGGGCCCCAUAGGUUAGAUGUUGCUAAUACUGAAAUUAUUGGAUGCCAUACAAGUAGCAUUUACAAGUCCAUUUGCUAUUAAUGUAAUGCCCCUUUAUACAAAGAACAAAUAAAUCACAGGGCUUUGGCUGAGGCUCUGCCAAUAUUUUAUUUCCCUUAAAACAGAAGAAUAUGAUGAUUUUUUUUUAAAAAAAAGGAACAAUUAUAACUUAGCACAUGUCACUAGUUUUCACAACUCCAGUGAAUGUAAACUUACUUAACUUUCCAGAUCCAAAAGGGAAAAUGCUGUGCUAUAUUUGAUGUGAGGAGCAAGAGACUUACAUUGUGCCUUAGACUGGUUCAGAAUAUUUUUGUGGGGAAAUACCUGUCUCCGUGGCACAACUAGAAUCAACAGAAUAUUAAAAUGUCUGGAUUUGUGAUAAUAACUUUGGGAAACAUUACUCCAUGGCAGAGGCCAUUUUGUUCACAUUCCACAAAGGAUGAUCUUUUUGUAAAGCUUUUUGCAGAGGAGAGCUUUGGGCCUCUUCCAAGGUCAUGGCAAAGUGACCAGCCUUGCUGAGUACACUCCCUGUUCUGAUUUCUGCCACACCACAGCAAUGGCACCCAUGGGCAGAAGCUCCGGAAAGUGAUCCAACUGAAAUCUUCUCACUUGUGUUUAUCUAAGGGAUUUUGUUUGAUUGACGAAAAAUUAAUCCAGCUGUAAAUUCCAUAGUCAAGUAAACCUGGCACAUAUAGACAGACUGCCUUUCAAUUCCUGUAGAAUUUAUGUUCCUUUUGGAGUUCUUUGUUUAUGUCACCGUUACUAAAUUUAAUUUUUAAGCUUUAAUUUUCCCAAUUAUGAACUAUACAGCGUGACUUACUGUUUUGUAAGUCUUUAUUUAUUGACAGAAUGACUAUUUUGUAAAUGUUAUUCCCAUAUGCAUGUUUAUGCUUUCUCUGUGUCCUGUAAAUGGUAUGUGUCUUGGUUAGGGCUAACAUUGCUGUGAUGAAACACCGUGAUCAAAGGCAAGUUGGGGAGGAGAGGGUUUAUUUGGCUUACACUUUAAAUCCCUGUUCAUCAUUGAAGGAAGGCAGGGCAGGGACCUGGAGGCAGGAGCUGAUGCAGAGGCCAUGGAGGGGUGCUGCAUAGUGCCUUGCUUGCUCCUUAUGGCUUGCUCUUAUAGAACCCAGGACCACCAGCUCAGGGGUGGAACCACUCUGUCCCAUCAAUUGCUAAUGAAGAAAAUGUCAUACUGGCUUGCCUACAGCCUGAUGUUAUAGAGUCAGCUAAGGGGCUCUCCCCUCUGGUGACUCUAGCCUGUGUCAAGCUGACACAGAAUCAGCCAGCACAGCAUGUUUUAUAUAAAAUUGCCUUUGCGUAUUGAUUUAUGACUUCUCUAUCAUUUUAUUUUAUUAGUACUAAGGAUUGAACCCAGGACUUUGGGCAUGCUAAAUAUGUUCUCUACCACUGAACUAUACUACAGAUCCUAUAUAAUUUUAAUCAUCAAUUAGCUUUACAUAUAGUUCAAUGGUAAAUCUACUUAUUUUGGUGUAUAUAAAUCCCACCACCUAGUUAGCUUUCCAGGUGGAUGCAGCUAUUUAAACACAUCUCGUUUUGGAUCUUGUGGCUAACAUUUUAAAAAUAUACUUACUGUCAUUAUAAGGUUUAGGAAAGCAUAGAAAUAAAUAUAUGUGAUUAAUUGUGGGCUGGUGAUCUAAAUUCACCUCUAAACCAAGACACCUUUGAGUGUAAAAGAUAGUAUUAUUAUAUUGAAAAUAUAACCUGGGAGUGCUUCAGCAUAUAAUUAAUCAAUUAACUCCAGAAAAUAAUUUAAGUUACAAAAGAUUUUUGACACAUUAACAUGUGUGUUUAUAUUUUAUAUUUCUAUACUACUGUAAGAAUAUUGUCUAUUCAAAUAUGUAUAUUUCCUAAAUGAACUUUGUAUCUCUAUGUUCAUAUGUUUGUAUCAUGUUUGUAACUGAGGCUAUGAAAAAGAAAAAAAAUCUGAUACAUAUCUAUAAUUAUGAAAUAAGCAUGUACAUUAAAAACUGCCCUACAUACCCACAAUAGUGGGUAAGAAAGCAAAGCAGAGGCAGUGAUUCCAUUUUCAUCAGUGUAAAACAGUAGAAAGUAACUUUCAAAUGGUCAGAAAACUAUACAGGAUCAAUAGAAAGAACAAAUAAAUAUUUUUGAAGAUACUUUCAA
rnacentral:lncRNA from 1 species